UACAGAGGUCUCAAGCGUUUGUUCGGAUUCAUUGGGCGUAAAGGGUGUGUAGGUGGCGCGCUGAGUCGGGUGUGAAAUUUCGGAGCUUAACUCCGAAACUGCAUUCGAUACUGGCGUGCUUGAGGACUGGAGAGGAGACUGGAAUUUACGGUGUAGCGGUGAAAUGCGUAGAUAUCGUAAGGAAGACCAGUGGCGAAGGCGGGGUCUCUGGACAGUUCCUGACGCUGAGGCACGAAGGCCCAGGGGGAGCAAAACGGGG
rnacentral:rRNA from 1 species